rnacentral:rRNA from 1 species
UUGCCUACGGGGGGCAGCAGUGGGGAAUAUUGCACAAUGGGGGAAACCCUGAUGCAGCAACGCCGCGUGAGUGAAGAAGUAUUUCGGUAUGUAAAGCUCUAUCAGCAGGGAAGAAAAUGACGGUACCUGAGUAAGAAGCCCCGGCUAACUACGUGCCAGCAGCCGCGGUAAUACGUAGGGGGCAAGCGUUAUCCGGAUUUACUGGGUGUAAAGGGGGCGCAGACGGCCAUGGCAAGCCCGGUGUGAAAGGUGCGGGCACAACCCGCAGACUGCACUGGUAACUGCCUGGUUGGAGUGCCGGAGGG